UGUACCGGCCGUGUGCACUUAGACCUGCUUGUCUCAAAGAUUAAGCCAUGCGGUCUAAGUGCACACGGGCCGGGACUGUGAAACUGCGAAUGGCUCAUUAAAUCAGUUAUGGUUCCUUUGAUCGCUCCACCCGUACUUGGAUAACUGUGGCAAUUCCAGAGCUAAUACAUGCCGUUUAUUUGAUAGUACCUUACUACUUGGAUAACCGUGGUAAUUCUAGAGCUAAUACAUGCUAAAAAUCCCGACUUCGGAAGGGAUGUAUUUAUUAGAUUAAAAACCAAUGCCCUCCGGGGCUCACUGGUGAUUCAUGAUAACUCCUCGAAUCGCAUGGCCUUGCGCCGGCGAUACUUCAUUCAAAUUUCUGCCCUAUCAACUUUCGAUGGUACUUUAGGCGCCUACCAUGGUGACCACGGGUGACGGGGAAUCAGGGUUCGAUUCCGGAGAGGGAGCCUGAGAAACGGCUACCACAUCCAAGGAAGGCAGCAGGCGCGCAAAUUACCCACUCCUGACACGGGGAGGUAGUGACAAUAAAUAACAAUACAGGUCUCUUUCGAGGCCCUGUAAUUGGAAUGAGCGUAUCCUAAACCCAUGGGCGAGGACCCAUUGGAGGGCAAGUCUGGUGCCAGCAGCCGCGGUAAUUCCAGCUCCAAUAGCGUAUAUUAAAGUUGCUGCAGUUAAAAAGCUCGUAGUUGGACUCGGGAGCGAGCUUGCGGUCCGCCGCGAGGCGAGCCACCGCACGUCCCGUACCCCUGCCUCCCGGCCCCCCCGGAUGCCCUUAACUGGGUGUCCGGUCCGGGGCCCGGAGCGUUUACUUUGAAAAAAUUAGAGUGUUCAAAGCAGGCCGCAGCCCGCCUGAAUAUCUCAGCUAGGAAUAAUGGAAUAGGACUCCGGUUCUAUUUUGUGGGUUUCCGGAACCCGGGGCCAUGAUUGAGAGGGACGGCCGGGGGCAUUCGUAUUGCGCCGCUAGAGGUGAAAUUCUUGGACCGGCGCAAGACGGACGAGAGCGAAAGCAUUUGCCAAGAAUGUUUUCAUUAAUCAAGAACGAAAGUUAGGGGCUCGAAGACAUCAGAUACCGUCCUAGUCCCGACCGUAAACGAUGCCGACCCGCGAUCCGGCGGCGUUAUUCCCAUGACCCGCCGGGCAGCGUGCGGGAAACCACGAGUCUUUGGGUUCCGGGGGGAGUAACCAUAAACUAUGCCGACUAGGGAUCGGACGAUGUUAUAUUUUGACUCGUUCGGCACCUUACGAGAAAUCAAAGUUUUUGGGUUCUGGGGGGAGUAUGGUCGCAAGGCUGAAACUUAAAGGAAUUGACGGAAGGGCACCACCAGGAGUGGAGCCUGCGGCUUAAUUUGACUCAACACGGGAAACCUCACCCGGCCCGGACACGGAAAGGAUUGACAGAUCGAUAGCUCUUUCUCGAUUCUGUGGGUGGUGGUGCAUGGCCGUUCUUAGUUGGUGGAGCGAUUUGUCUGGUUAAUUCCGAUAACGAACGAGACGAUUCCGAUAACGAACGAGACUCUGGCAUGCUAACUAGUUACGCGGCCCCGCGCGGUUCCGGCAUGCUAAAUAGUUACGCGGCCCCGCGCGGUCGGCGUCCAACUUCUUAGAGGGACAAGUGGCUCUCAGCCACGCGAGAUGGAGCAAUAACAGGUCUGUGAUGCCCUUAGAUGUCCGGGGCUGCACGCGCGCUACAAUGGGCGGAUCAGCGUGUGUCUACCCUGCGCCGGGAGGCGCGGGUAACCCGUUGAACAUGGGCGGAUCAGCGUGUGUCUACCCUGCGCCGAGAGGCGCGGGUAACCCGCUGAACCCCGCUCGUGAUCGGGACUGGGGAUUGCAACUGUUUCCCAUCAACGAGGAAUUCCCAGUAAGCGCGGGUCAUAAGCUCGCGUUGAAUUCGUGAUGGGGAUCGGGGAUUGCAACUGUUUCCCAUCAACGAGGAAUUCCCAGUAAGCGCGGGUCAUAAGCUCGCGUUGAUUUAGUCCCUGCCCUUUGUACACAC
rnacentral:rRNA from 1 species